rnacentral:rRNA from 1 species
UACGAAGGGUGCAAGCGUUAAUCGGAAUUACUGGGCGUAAAGCGUGCGUAGGCGGUUUGUUAAGUCCGUUGUGAAAGCCCUGGGCUCAACCUGGGAAUUGCAGUGGAUACUGGCAAGCUAGAGUCAGGUAGAGGGUGGUGGAAUUCCCGGUGUAGCGGUGAAAUGCGUAGAGAUCGGGAGGAACAUCUGUGGCGAAGGCGGCCACCUGGACCAUGACUGACGCUGAGGCACGAAAGCGUGGGAGCAAACAGG